rnacentral:miRNA from 1 species
GUAAAUAAUAAAAAAAAUAUUUUAACGACGAACUUAGUUUCGACGCUCGUUAGGCCCGUACGCGCCUUACGGACGACGUCGACUAUUAGUCGACGUCGUCCGUAAGGCGCGUACGGGCCUAACGAGCGUCGAAACUAAGUUCGUCGUUAAAAUAUUUUUUUUAUUAUUUAC